rnacentral:misc_RNA from 1 species
UUUCCGUAGGUGAACCUGCGGAAGGAUCAUUACAUUCAGUAGCCUAGCUACUUGUUUACACCCUUGUUUUUUUGCGCACUUCACUGUAUCCCUCGGCGGGCUUGCUCGCCGGUUGGACAACAUUUAUAACCUUUUUUAAUCUUCAAUCAGCGUCUGAAUUAUAUUUAAUAAUUACAACUUUCAACAACGGAUCUCUUGGUUCUGGCAUCGAUGAAGAACGCAGC